rnacentral:lncRNA from 1 species
CUCGCUCAGAUGAGGCAAGUUCCUAAGCAGUGGAGACUGCGUUAAGCUCUGGCUGUGAAUAGUUUCCUCACCUGUGGAAUCUGACAGUGCCUGGAGCUACAGCGACCUUGCUCCUGUCACUGUUUACCUGCACCUCAAGCUGUCAUUUAGAUUUGAGAAAUUAAACUGUCAAGAAAAUCUGCUCGGUGCAGGCCAGCCAGGUGGUGUGUGGUGUCAGCAUCUGACACAGAUGUCCAGAGGAAAGUCUUCAUUGCCAUAAGGGCUUUGCUGUCACCUCCAACGUAAGAGGUGGCUAUGUUCCUGCCCUUCUUGGAAAGCUGGUGCUUCUUAAUAUAAACUGAGCAUGAACUUUAUAUAAACCCUGAACCCUAAGAAACAUGAGCUAUACCAACUGAUGGCCCUGAAGUAUCUUUCACAUAAACAGUUUGAGAUCAAGGACGCUGGCUGCACAGACCAGUGCGGAUCCAGGCAGCUGUGCCGCAACAAGGAUCAAUGCUCCCAUGGAGAGGAGGCAGGUGGGGGCCUCCGCAGGGGCUCAAGUGUUUGCAGAGCUGGGCCUCUAAGGUGGGCAAGGCCUCUUUCUUGAAGGGGACUGUGGCUCCACAGGGGGCUCUCAGAGGACUGGACAAUGGGGACAGCCCUGUGCCUGCCAGCCCACGGGAGGAACUGCCUGAUGGCUGCUUUUCCACAAACUUCUUUGGAAGGAUGAUUUGCCAUGGAAAGGAGUCAAGGGUGCAUUUAUCUUAUAAAUGAGGAAACUGAGGCCCACCUGGAUGAAGAUACUGGCCCAAAGUCCCAAGGUUUGAAGAAAUGUUGAUUAUCCAUCAUUUAUACGGUAAUGUGUAUAUUUAAGUGUGCCUUGCACUGUUACAGUUCCUAUAUGCAACACUUUAUCAGUCUCUGCUUCAUGAGAACUUACAAGAAAGAUAAAUGAAGGAAUAACAGGAAUUCAAUGAAACAAACUUCUCUCCUUUUAAGUUAUCACAUGAGUAGUGCUUCUGUGUAAAAACAAGGCAAUUUUGCAUCACCAAGGUUGGAGUUACACAGUUCUUGUGCUUAUCAACACUUCCCUUUCCUGCACAGGGGAACAGGCCAAGAAGGUGGCCUGAAAAGCUACUCAUCAGCUCCUUUGCCUUUUGCCAGGUAGAGGAAUAUAUGUGAGCAGUGUCGAAGUGAUAACUUUCUGUUUCCAAACUGAAGCAACAAGAAGGUUGAGGACCAUAUUAAAAAUGGAUACUUAAAAAAAUAAAAAACAAAAAUGUAUACUGACAUUACAGUGGGCUACAAAUAUAUUAACUUUUUUUUGAUCUUGGAGAAAUUUCAAGGGCAAAUAUAUUUGUUGAACAAAUGGAUAAGUAACAAACCAACCUCCUGCAAUUGAAGGAUUUCUGCUUCCAGACUCUUCAAUUUCUUUUCACUCUCUUUGGAUUGAGCAAAAAUCUCAUCUCUGGAUGCACGAGCUUCUUCUAAUUCACGUUGGUAAUCCUUCAUCUGAGCCUAAGAUUAAAUAAGAAGGUUUUGGGGUGGUUUACAUUCUUAGUUUUAGUUAAAAUAAAAUUUUUUUAGAGAUGAGCCCUGGCUGUGUUGCCCAGGCUGAUCUCAAACUCAAGGCCUCAAGCAUUGCUCCUGAUUACAAGUGUGAGCUGCGGUGCCUGGCCCCAUUCUUAGCUUGUAAACAUGGUAUUUUUUUUCUAGAUUAUAAAAGUAAUAUACAUUCAUUGUAAAUAUAAAAGUAUAUGGGAAUGACAAGGAUAUCGUAAGAAAACUACAGAUCAAAAUGAAAUCCCUUAUGAAUACAAAUGCAAAAAUCUUCAACAGAAUAGUAGCAAACUGAAUCUGGCAACAUGUAAAAAGGAUUAUACACCAUGACCAAGCAGGAUCUAUCUGAGGAAUGCAAGGUUGGUUUGACAACCAAAAAUGAAUUAAUGUAACCAUAUGAUCAUCACAAUAAAUGCUGAAGAAGCACUUGACAAAAUCUAAUACCCUUUCAAUAUAAAAAUGCUCAACAAGCUAUGAACAGAAGGAAAUUUCUUCAACUCUGAUUAAGGGCAUCAAUGAAAAACUGACAGCCAAUAUCAUACUUAAGGAUCAAUGACCAAAUGCUUUCCCUCUAAAAGAUGAGCAACAAGACAAGGAUGUCUGAUCUUGCCACUUCUACUUAACAAUGCAAUAGAGAUUCUAGCCAGGGUAAUUAAUUAGGCAAGAUAAAGAAAUAAAAGAUAUCCAGAUUGGAAAGGAAGAAGUAAAACUAGUUCAAUUUGCAGAUGAUCUGAUAUUGUAUAUAGAAAAUCUUAAGGAAGACACUGAAAGAAUUAGAACUGCUGGUAAUAUGGACAGUAAAAGAAAAGAAAGCCCACAAGAACUAAUUGAUGAGUUUAGCAAGAUUGCGGGAUACAAGAUCAACAUACAAACAUCAAUUAUAUUUCUAUACACCAACUAUGAACAUUCAAAAUAAAGCAAUUACAUUUAUAAUACCAUCAAAAGAAUAUAAACUUAGGUAUAAAGAAAAAAAGUGAAAGACUUGUAUACCAAGAACUACAAAACGUCACUGAAAAAAAUAAAAAAGAUCUAAAUAAAUGGAAAGAUUAUCCAUGUUUGUAGACCAGAAGACUUAAUAUUGUUAAAAUAGCAAUACUCUCCAAAUUGAUUUACACAUCAACACAAUAAACUAUCAAAACCCAAGCUGGCUUUUUUUUUUUUUUUUUUUGGUGGCAGAAAUUAAGCUAAGGCAGGUGUGGAAAUCAUUUACUCAAAGAAUUUAUAUCCAGAAUACAGAAUUGUUUCAACUCAAUAAUUAAAAGAGAGCUCAGCUGUUUAACCUCAUUAGUCAUUAGAGAAAUAAAAAUAAAAGCCACAAUGAAAUGUCACUUCACACCCACUAAGAUGGUUACAAUCAAAAGAUGGACAAUAACAAAUGUUGACAAGAUGUGGAGAAAUUGGAACCCUCAUACAUAGCUGGUAGGAACGUAAAACUGCAGUGACUGUGGGAAACAGUUUGGCAGUUCCUCAAAGUUAAACACAGAGGUACCAUAUAACCCAGCUCAAUUCCACUCCUAGGUAUAUUUCUGAGAAAACUGAAAGCACAUGUCCACACAAAUGCAUAUGAAUGUUCAUAGAGGCAUUAUUCAGAAGUCAAAAAAAUGGAAGCAACCCAAAUGUCCAACUGGGGGAUAGACGAGUAAAAUGUGGUAGAUGUAUCCACACAGUAGAGUGUUACUCAGUAAUAAAAAGGAGUGCGGUACUUGUUCAUGUGGCUACAUGGAUGAACUUUGAAAACAUCAUGCUAAGUGGAAAACCAGUCACAAAAGGCCACAUAUUGUAUGAUUCCACUGAUAUGAAAUAUGGAACAAAGGCAAAUUUAUAGAGACUGAAAGAUUAGUAGUUGAUUAACGCAGGAUGCAGCAGGGAUACAGGGAAUGGGGAGUGACAGCUAAUGGGUGGAGGAUUCUUUUGGGAGGGACCAAAAUGCCCCAAAUAUGAUAGUGGUGAUGGCUGAAUAAGCCUAUGAAUAACUAAAAAACACUGAAAACACUAAACUGGCGAAUUGUGUGGUAUGUGAACUAUAUUUCAAUAAAGCUGUUAAAUAAAA